AUUGAACGCUGGCGGCAUGCCUUACACAUGCAAGUCGAACGGUAACAGAUCUUCGGAUGCUGACGAGAGGCGAACGGGUGAGUAAUACAUCGGAACGUGCCUAGUAGUGGGGGAUAACUACUCGAAAGAGUGGCUAAUACCGCAUGAGAUCUACGGAUGAAAGCAGGGGAUCGCAAGACCUUGUGCUACUAGAGCGGCCGAUGGCAGAUUAGGUAGUCGGUGGGAUAAAAGCUUACCAAGCCGACGAUCUGUAGCUGGUCUGAGAGGACGAUCGGCCACACUGGGACUGAGACACGGCCCAGACUCCUACGGGAGGCAGCAGUGGGGAAUUUUGGACAAUGGGCGCAAGCCUGAUCCAGCAAUGCCGCGUGCAGGAUGAAGGCCUUCGGGUUGUAAACUGCUUUUGUACGGAACGAAAAGCCCUGGGUUAAUACCCUGGGGUCAUGACGGUACCGUAAGAAUAAGCACCGGCUAACUACGUGCCAGCAGCCGCGGUAAUAC
rnacentral:rRNA from 1 species